AUGCCAUGUCCAGAUCCAGGUAUUCUCCAACCAACUCUUCUCCUAACUGUGAGCUCCAGUGAAGAAAUCGCAAGCAGCAAGUUUGCAACUGUCGUCUGUUCAAUCAUCGAUUUCCAUCCGAAGUCAAUCUCCGUGAGUUGGUUGAAAAAUGGCCGACCCUUGGAUUCUGGCUUCUUCACGUCUCCCGUGUGUGAGGAAAACGGGAACUUCUCGGCGACGAGUCGCCUGAUGGUACCUUAUGAAGAUACCGAGUGCCACCCUCACACCGUUCAAAUCCUCCCACCGCCAGUAGAACAAGUCUUACUGGAGGCGACGGUGAUGUUAACCUGCGUUGUGUCCAAUCUUCCUUCUGGGGUCAACGUGACCUGGAAACAAGAACAGAAGCCUCUGAAAUCAGAGAUUGCUGACCAGCCUGAACAGAAUCCUAACAGCGUGGUCAGCAAAUUAUACAUUUCGACUGAAGCCUGGCUGAGUGGCGUUACUUUUGAAUGUGUAGUGUACCGUCAGAAUCUACUGACUCCGCUGAGAGACUCCAUCCACAAGGAGAAAGUGAUUAAUCCGGUGGAGCCAUCAAUGUCGGUCCUCCUGCCACCAAAACAAGAAAUCUCCUCUCAGAGGUUUCUCUCCCUCACCUGUUUAGUGAGAGGUUUCUCCCCCAGAGAGAUCUUCGUCAAGUGGACAAACAAUGACAGGCCCGUGAAUCCCAGUAACUACAAGAACACCGAGGUGAUGGCAGAGAAUGACAACAUCUCCUUAUUCGUGUACAGCCUGUUAUCCAUUACAGCGGAGGAGUGGGCCAGCGAUUCAAUAGAUCGCACUUGGAUUGAAGACUAUGAGGAUGAUAACAGCAACAUCUGGACAACUGCUUCCAUGUUCAUCACCUUGUUCUUCCUGAGUAUUUUCCACAGCGCUGCCGUUACUCUAGUGAAGCGUUAUUGA